rnacentral:rRNA from 1 species
UGGGGAAUAUUGCACAAUGGGCGCAAGCCUGAUGCAGCCAUGCCGCGUGUGUGAAGAAGGCCUUCGGGUUGUAAAGCACUUUCAGCGAGGAGGAAGGUGGUGGACUUAAUACGUUCAUCAAUUGACGUUACUCGCAGAAGAAGCACCGGCUAACUCCGUGCCAGCAGCCGCGGUAAUACGGAGGGUGCAAGCGUUAAUCGGAAUUACUGGGCGUAAAGCGCACGCAGGCGGUUUGUUAAGUCAGAUGUGAAAUCCCCCGGGGCUCAACCUGGGAACUGCAUUUGAAACUGGCAAGCUAGAGUCUCGUAGAGGGGGGUAGAAUUCCAGGUGUAGCGGUGAAAUGCGGUAGAGAUCUGGAGGAAUACCGGUGGCGAAGGCGGCCCCCUGGACGAAGACUGACGCUCAGGUGCGAAAGCGUGGGGAGCAAACAGGAUUAGAUACCCCUGGUAGGUCCACGCUGUAAAACGAUGUCGAUUUUGGAGGUUGUGCCCCUUGAGGCGUGGCUUCCGGAGCUAACGCGUUAAAUCGACCGCCU